rnacentral:rRNA from 1 species
AGUGAACGCUGGCGGUAGGCCUAACACAUGCAAGUCGAACGGCAGCACAGGAGAGCUUGCUCUCUGGGUGGCGAGUGGCGGACGGGUGAGGAAUACAUCGGAAUCUACUCUGACGUGGGGGAUAACGUAGGGAAACUUACGCUAAUACCGCAUACGACCUACGGGUGAAAGCAGGCGACCUUCGGGCCUUGCGCGAUUGAAUGAGCCGAUGUCGGAUUAGCUAGUUGGCGGGGUAAAGGCCCACCAAGGCGACGAUCCGUAGCUGGUCUGAGAGGAUGAUCAGCCACACUGGAACUGAGACACGGUCCAGACUCCUACGGGAGGCAGCAGUGGGGAAUAUUGGACAAUGGGCGCAAGCCUGAUCCAGCCACACCGCGUGGGCGAAGAAGGCCUUCGGGUUGUAAAGCCCUUUUGUUGGGAAAGAAAUCCAGCUGGCUAAUACCCGGUUGGGAUGACGGUACCCAAAGAAUAAGCACCGGCUAACUUCGUGCCAGCCGCCGCCGUAA